UACGUAGGGGGCGAGCGUUGUCCGGAUUUAUUGGGCGUAAAAGGCUUGUAGGUGGCCACGUCAAGUCGGAUGUGAAAUCUCCCGGCUCAACUGGGAGGGGUCAUUCGAUACUGGCGGGCUCGAGGCCGGUAGGGGGAAGUGGAAUUCCCGGUGUAGUGGUGGAAUGCGUAGAUAUCGGGAGGAACACCAGUGGCGAAGGCGGCUUCCUGGACCGGUUCUGACACUGAGGAGCGAAAGCGUGGGGAGCGAUCCGG
rnacentral:rRNA from 1 species